GACGGAGGAUGCAAGUGUUAUCCGGAAUCACUGGGCGUAAAGCGUGUGUAGGUGGAUGCCUAAGUACCUUGUGAAAUCCCACGGCUUAACCGUGGAACUGCUUGGUAUACUGGGUGUCUUGAGCCAGCUAGGGGCUACCGGAACAAAUGGUGGAGCGGUGAAAUGCGUAGAUAUCAUUUGGAACGCCAAUGGUGAAAACAGGUAGCUGGGGCUGUGCUGACACUGAGACACGAAAGCCAGGGGAGCGAACGGG
rnacentral:rRNA from 1 species